UACAGAGGUCCCAAGCGUUGUUCGGAUUCACUGGGCGUAAAGGGUGCGUAGGUGGUGGGGUAAGUCUGAUGUGAAAGCUCCGAGCUCAACUCGGAAAUGGCAUUAGAAACUACCUUGCUAGAGGGUUGGAGGGGGGACUGGAAUUCUCGGUGUAGCAGUGAAAUGCGUAGAUAUCGAGAGGAACACCAGUGGCGAAGGCGAGUCCCUGGACCAACUCCUGACACUGAGGCACGAAAGCUAGGGGAGCAAACAGG
rnacentral:rRNA from 1 species